GACGAACGCUGGCGGCGUGCUUAACACAUGCAAGUCGAACGAUGAAGCCGGAGCUUGCUCUGGUGAAUUAGUGGCGAACGGGUGAGUAACACGUGAGUAACCUGCCCUUGGCUCUGGGAUAACUGCUAGAAAUGGUAGCUAAUACCGGAUACGACCCUCGGAGGCAUCUCCAGGGGGUGGAAAGAAUUUCGGUCAAGGAUGGACUCGCGGCCUAUCAGCUAGUUGGUGAGGUAACGGCUCACCAAGGCGACGACGGGUAGCCGGCCUGAGAGGGUGAUCGGCCACACUGGGACUGGGACACGGCCCAGACCCCUACGGGAGGCAGCAGUGGGGAAUAUUGCACAAUGGGCGCAAGCCUGAUGCAGCAACGCCGCGUGAGGGACGACGGCCUUCGGGUUGUAAACCUCUUUUAGUAGGGAAGAAGCGAAAGUGACGGUACCUGCAGAAAAAGCACCGGCUAACUACGUGCCAGCCGCCGCGGUAA
rnacentral:rRNA from 1 species